rnacentral:rRNA from 1 species
AUUGAACGCUGGCGGCACGCCUUACACAUGCAAGUCGAACGGUAACGCGGGGCAACCUGGCGACGAGUGGCGAACGGGUGAGUAAUGUAUCGGAACGUGCCCAGUUGUGGGGGAUAACUGCUCGAAAGAGCAGCUAAUACCGCAUACGACCUGAGGGUGAAAGCGGGGGAUCGCAAGACCUCGCGCAAUUGGAGCGGCCGAUAUCAGAUUAGGUAGUUGGUGGGGUAAAGGCCCACCAAGCCAACGAUCUGUAGCUGGUCUGAGAGGACGACCAGCCACACUGGGACUGAGACACGGCCCAGACUCCUACGGGAGGCAGCAGUGGGGAAUUUUGGACAAUGGACGCAAGUCUGAUCCAGCCAUGCCGCGUGCGGGAAGAAGGCCUUCGGGUUGCAAACCGCUUUUGUCAGGGAAGAAAAGGGCGACUCUAAUACAGUUGCCUCAUGACGGUACCUGAAGAAUAAGCACCGGCUAACUACGUGCCAGCCGCCGCCGUAACAC